rnacentral:lncRNA from 1 species
AGAAUCCUGAGCUGUAUUUGGAUAUGGGGUGGGCCUUGAAGGGAGGAGGGGUGGACAGGAGACCCCUGGCUCUCCUCAAAUCCAGGGACUAGAGGGCCUGCAGUGCUGCCAUUGGAGGGUCAUUCUUUGGCGUCCUUUUCUCUGUACAGAUCUUCCAAGACACCCGCCUCCUGAUGUGAAUUCUCCAAAGCCUGAAGUCAUCCAAAGGCCAAAUAAGAUUGCAUGCCAGGAGUGAUAUCUGAAAGUAGAAAAUAGAACCUUUGGUGUUCCAGUCAAAAUGAAGGGAAGAUGAGAAGGUAGGUUUAACAUCAAGCAAAUUACACCAGCUUUUCAACUUUGAGGCUCACUUUUCCCCUCCUUUCUUUCUGAUAGCUAGAUUUGGUCUUAAAAGAUUACCAUAAGAUUGUUAAACUGACAAUUCAUUAUUUUUUCCUGACAGUGCAUAAAAAUAGUAUGGAUUGCCUUAUGGGUAGAAAGUUGUUCUUAGAAGCUGGAUCCCUG